rnacentral:misc_RNA from 1 species
UCUCCGUUGGUGAACCAGCGGAGGGAUCAUUACAGGAUCGAAAGACUCCUAUAACCCCUGUGAACUUACUACAAAUACGUUGCUUCGGCGGGUGCCCCGGGUCUCCCGGGGCGUUCAGCCCGCCGGCAGCCUUCAAAUUCUGUUUCUUUGCGUUGGCAUCUCGAGUAUACAAAAAUAAGUUAAAACUUUCAACAACGGAUCUCUUGGUUCUC